rnacentral:rRNA from 1 species
AUUGAACGCUGGCGGCAGGCUUAACACAUGCAAGUCGAGCGGUAACAGGGGGUGCUUGCACCCCGCUGACGAGCGGCGGACGGGUGAGUAAUGCUUAGGAAUCUGCCCAGUAGUGGGGGAUAGCCCGGGGAAACCCGGAUUAAUACCGCAUACGUCCUACGGGAGAAAGCAGGGGAUCUUCGGACCUUGCGCUAUUGGAUGAGCCUAAGUCGGAUUAGCUAGUUGGUGGGGUAAAGGCCUACCAAGGCAACGAUCCGUAGCUGGUUUGAGAGGAUGAUCAGCCACAUCGGGACUGAGACACGGCCCGAACUCCUACGGGAGGCAGCAGUGGGGAAUAUUGGACAAUGGGGGCAACCCUGAUCCAGCCAUGCCGCGUGUGUGAAGAAGGCUUUCGGGUUGUAAAGCACUUUCAGUAAGGAGGAAAACCUUACGGUUAAUAACCGUGAGGCUUGACGUUACUUACAGAAGAAGCACCGGCUAACUCCGUGCCAGCAGCCGCGGUAAUACGGAGGGUGCAAGCGUUAAUCGGAAUUACUGGGCGUAAAGCGCGCGUAGGUGGUUCGAUAAGCGGGAUGUGAAAGCCCCGGGCUUAACCUGGGAACGGCAUUCCGAACUGUCGAGCUAGAGUAUGGUAGAGGGUAGUGGAAUUUCCUGUGUAGCGGUGAAAUGCGUAGAUAU